AUUGAACGCUGGCGGCAGGCCUAACACAUGCAAGUCGAGCGGAUGAAGGGAGCUUGCUCCUGGAUUCAGCGGCGGACGGGUGAGUAAUGCCUAGGAAUCUGCCUGGUAGUGGGGGAUAACGUCCGGAAACGGGCGCUAAUACCGCAUACGUCCUGAGGGAGAAAGUGGGGGAUCUUCGGACCUCACGCUAUCAGAUGAGCCUAGGUCGGAUUAGCUAGUUGGUGGGGUAAAGGCCUACCAAGGCGACGAUCCGUAACUGGUCUGAGAGGAUGAUCAGUCACACUGGAACUGAGACACGGUCCAGACUCCUACGGGAGGCAGCAGUGGGGAAUAUUGGACAAUGGGCGAAAGCCUGAUCCAGCCAUGCCGCGUGUGUGAAGAAGGUCUUCGGAUUGUAAAGCACUUUAGGUGGGGAGGAAGGGCAGUAAGUUAAUACCUUGCUGUUUUGACGGUACCAACAGAAUAAGCACCGGCUAACUUCGUG
rnacentral:rRNA from 1 species